GCGUUCGUGGUGUAGUGGUCAGCACGUUCGGCGUGUAUUCGAGAGAUCUGUGGUUCGAGUCCCGGCGAGGGCA
rfam:Stegodyphus mimosarum contig11882, whole genome shotgun sequence.